rnacentral:lncRNA from 1 species
CUCAGAUUUAUGUUUCCGUAGUGUGGGAGCUUUGUUCUUUCACUGUUUGCGAAAUAGUAUUACGGUCACAUGAUUCAAAAUUCAAUAUAUAAAAGGAUGUAAAGUGAAAAUUCUUUCUCCCAUCCUCGUCAUUCCCAAGCUACUCAAAAAGAUAUCUCUCUGUCGGCUAGGCUGGAGUGUAGUGGUGUGAUCAUCAUGGCUCACUGUGGCCUCAAACUCCUACUAUGGACAGGAGACAGGGAAAUACUGGGCUCCAGAGAGAGACAAGGAGAUGAGGAGACAAGCAGACGAACAGCGGAACAAUGCAGCAGAGAAAGAGAGAAGAGAAGGAACGUCUGAACGUCGAGAGGAGUUCGGCUGCUGGACGGCCAAACUCCAGGGGAAGAUCAUCUUCCCACUCCAUUCCCCCUCCAGCUCCCCAUCCAUCCCACUGAGAGCCACUUCCACCACUCAAUAAAAGCCCCACAUUUAUCCUUCAAGUCCAUGUGUGAUCCAAUUCUUCUGGGAUGCUAAACAAGAACCUGGGAUACAGAAAGCUGUCACACUGGCCCUCUGCCCUUGCAGAAAGGCAGAGGGGCCCUGAGCUGGUUGAUACUUAAGCUGUCUGUGGAUGGCAGAACUAAAAGAGCAUUGG